rnacentral:lncRNA from 1 species
CAUGAGUAGCUUAAGUAGCUAUUGAAUUAUCAUUUUUGAAUAUAAUAUUUCAAUAUUUUUUAUUGAACUAAAUAUAUGUUUUAAUGAUAAUUUGAUUAAAUAAAAUUAUAAUAUAAAUUUAAAUAACUUUGAAAAUUCUUAACUCUUACUUUUUUUUGUGGUUGCGUAUGCAAGUUGAAUAAAAAUUUCAAGAGACCCCCACUUAGGAUUGCUUAAGUGCUUUAACAAAUUUAAACUUUGGUCAAAGCCAUGGCCGCUUUAUAUAUUAGUCAAUAACGUUCAUAACUUUAAUAGUAUUACUUGGAUACAUAAAUUUUUUCCUUGAACCAUAUUUUUUUUGAAAUGAAAGGCUUGCAUUUCUUCUUAUAGUUGGUUAACCUAUUGUACCAUAUAUGUAAGUUAAAAAUAGCAAAGCGUGUGUAUGCAUAAUGUAAAAAUAGCAAAUUAGAUGUAUUUUCCCUAAUUGUAUGGGUUUUUAUGAUAAAUCAAAAUUCUAAUUUAAAUAAAUUAUCCAAUCAAAUAAGAAAGCUCUAGUUUAAAUAAACUUAUCCAAAAAAGAAAAGAAAAACUUGAUGAAUAAUCUCCAACUAUGUAAAAUCUUCAACUUUCUCUCCCACAUACACUCUCUCAUGCAUCUAUAUAUAUUUAUUCUCUCACUUGUAUGUCUCAUGCACCCCCUCUCUUCCUCUAUCACCGUAGAAGAGAUAGGGAUUUGAGUGACCUUGUUUCUUUCUACCUUCCUCACAUAAAAGAAUCUUACAUGAUCAAAAUGAGAUUCCAAAUUAUUUCUCCAACCAACAUUAAAUUAGUUUUUUUAGUUGUUAAGAACCCGAACUAGUUUGAUAUAUGAAAUAGCUAUUUUUUCAUUUGCACAUUCAAGAAAUGAGAUUUAAAUUAAAGAAUAGUUACUAUUCGAAAAAAGUAUGGAAGCAAG